UUGGCAUAUUAGUCAUGCACAUUUACUUUAAAGAAGUGCAAUUUGAUUGGAAAAGGUAUGUUGGUGCAGACUUUUUUUUUUGCCCGCUACAAAAUAAUGCUACUCCAAGAUGAGAAUGUUAAAACUUCGAAAUUCACAAGUUGAAAAAUAUAAAAAGAGUUCUAGAGAUCUUGUUCAUUCUAUAAUAAUACAAGUUUUCAGUUCCCUAUUUUUCACCUGCUAUACAAUCUAGUUUGGGCUAUCAUUUACAAAACAUGAUAGCAUGACUCAAUAAACAAGAAGUUGUUGGUUUUGACUUUCUUGCUGCAAAGAAGAAGCUGAACAGCAACAUGAAGGAAUUGAGAGGAGAGUACUGUAAUGGGGCAAGCACUUGACAGGCCAAACACUUCUUCAGAUAAGAUUAAAAGUUGUCUGAUGACCACAUUUUCAAGAUAAUCCAAGGGAAUCACGAAGCUCGUUUGAUCAAUUGUAUAUACUACAAAAUGACCUUUUCUGACUAUAGAGGGUGAAGACUUACUAAAACUGUCUGCAUCACUACCAUUUCUUGUUGAUGAGAAAUGGAGAAAUGUGGACUAAGUUCCAUAUCCUGUAUGGCAUGAUUUUGGCCAGGUUUGUGUGAAUGGAGCUCUUCAUUGGAUGAAUCCCGUCAAUAAGGACAGCAUUUACUCCUUCGAUAUUGAGACUGAAAAGCUCAAGUCUGUGCUAGGUUCACCUGGUCUGGUAUUUCCAUUCAAGUAUUUGACCCAAGCAGAGUUGCAGAGAUCUACAUGUCCACCUAGUGUUUGAUGCUAGUAGAGUUGGGGAACUGUCUGUGUUUAGUGGUAGCAUUUUUUGGGCAUAUUGCUACAUGGUGGAUGAAAGAGUAUGGAAUAGCUGAAUCUUGGACUAAAGAUCGCAUUUUGACUUGUUUGGUGCCGGCUAGUUUUGGGAUUGAUAUUUGUUAUCAUAAAUAUUUACCAAUCCUAAUCUGGAAAGAUGGAGAAAUCUUUAUGCAAGGAAAAAAAGGCUCACACCUAUUGUCUUACAACCCAAAUGAAAAGAUUUUUAGGAUGAUCCCCAUUAGCAGGAGUAUUGCAACUGUAGCGACUAGAUAUCUUCCUAGUUUUUACUCACUCAAUACUGUCAUGGGCGACAACAUUCAAGUCUCAAAUGUUUAUUCGAAUGAAAACUGAGAUAGUUUUGAUAUUUAGUUUGUCUUAUUUCCUCGAGGUAUUAUGCUUUGCUUGUAUGUCUCUGCAGUAAUUUGGUUUAGAACAACUUUUACUGUUUUGUGGGUGCUUUUGGAUUGUGGUGGAACAACUGUCUGUAUGUAUUUGUUGUCCAUUUCAAUAUUCUAAAGUUAUUUGCAUUGCAAAAGUCUCCAAAAUUGCAUUUUAUUUAUUCAUUUCAUUCUGCACUUAUUCAUGCACUUGUCUGAAUAGAUUGAACUACAAAAGGAACAAAAUGUUGGCAUAUUAGUCAUGCACAUUUACUUUAAAGAAGUGCAAUUUGAUUGGAAAAGGUAUGUUGGUGCAGACUUUUUUUUUUGCCCGCUACAAAAUAAUGCUACUCCAAGAUGAGAAUGUUAAAACUUCGAAAUUCACAAGUUGAAAAAUAUAAAAAGAGUUCUAGAGAUCUUGUUCAUUCUAUAAUAAUACAAGUUUUCAGUUCCCUAUUUUUCACCUGCUAUACAAUCUAGUUUGG
rnacentral:lncRNA from 1 species